CGUGAGGGAAAGGUGAAAAGCACCCCGGAAGGGGAGUGAAAUAGAACCUGAAACCGUGUGCUUACAAGUAGUCAGAGCCCGUUAAUGGGUGAUGGCGUGCCUUUUGUAGAAUGAACCGGCGAGUUACGAUUUGAUGCAAGGUUAAGCAGUAAAUGUGGAGCCGUAGCGAAAGCGAGUCUGAAUAGGGCGUUUAGUAUUUGGUCGUAGACCCGAAACCAGGUGAUCUACCCUUGGUCAGGUUGAAGUUCAGGUAACACUGAAUGGAGGACCGAACCGACUUACGUUGAAAAGUGAGCGGAUGAACUGAGGGUAGCGGAGAAAUUCCAAUCGAACC
rnacentral:rRNA from 1 species